rnacentral:rRNA from 1 species
GAUGAACGCUGGCGGCGUGCCUAAUACAUGCAAGUCGAGCGAACGGACGCGAAGCUUGCUUCUCUGAUGUUAGCGGCGGACGGGUGAGUAACACGUGGAUAACCUACCUAUAAGACUGGGAUAACUUCGGGAAACCGGAGCUAAUACCGGAUGAUAUUUUGAACCGCAUGGUUCAAAAGUGAAAGACGGUCUUGCUGUCACUUAUAGAUGGAUCCGCGCUGCAUUAGCUAGUUGGUAAGGUAACGGCUUACCAAGGCAACGAUGCAUAGACGACGUGAGAGGGGGAUAGGCCACACUGGAAGUGAGACACGGUCAAGACUCCUAAGGGAGGGAGCAGUAGGGAAUCUUCGGCAAUGGGCGAAAGCCUGACGGAGCAACGCGGCGUGAGUGAUGAAGGUCUUCGGAUCGUAAAAAUCUGUUAUUAGGGAAGAACAGAUGUGUAAGGAACUGUGCAGAUAGUGACGGUAACUAAUCAGAAAGCCACGGCUAACUACGUG